rnacentral:rRNA from 1 species
AUUGAACGCUGGCGGCAGGCCUAACACAUGCAAGUCGAGCGGAGCGGCGGACGGGCGAGUGAUGCCUAGGAAUCUGCCUGGUAGUGGGGGAGAACGUCCGGAAAGGGGCGCUAAUACAGAAUACUCUCCGAUGAGCCUAGGUCGGAUAAGCUAGUUGGUGGGGUAACUGCCUACCAAGGCGACGAUCCGUACCUGGUCUGAGAGGAUGAUCAGUCACACUGGAACUAAGACACGGUCCAGACUCCUACGUGAGGCAGCAGUGGGGAAUAUUGGACAAUGGGCGAAAGCCGUAUCCAGCCAUGCCGCGUGUGUGAAGAAGGUCUUCGGAGUGUAAAGCACUUUAAGUUGGGAGGCGUUACCAACAGAAUAAGCACCGGCUAACUUCGUGCCAGCAGCCGCGGUAAUAC